GUCUAGACCCCACACACGCCACUCGGUAAGGAAUUGGGCCUAUAGCUCAGCUGGCUAGAGCACACGACUGAUAAUCGUGAGGUCAGUGGUUCGAGUCCACUUGGGCCCACCAAAUGGGGCUGUAGCUCAGUUGGGAGAGCACCUGCUUUGCAAGCAGGGGGUCACCGGUUCGAGACCGGUCAGCUCCACCACAGGGAAGAGGCCCGCAAAGAGCGGGUCGGACGCUGGGGUGGAGGAAGUCAGCCGGUAGGGUGUUAAAGGAUCAAAGGGUAGAGAGUCAUUACAGUGGUUAGUGGUAGAUUGGUAAAGUAGAUAGUGGCAUCGUAAAAAAGAGUCCGUAGUAGUGAGUUUCUGGAAAGAAGCUGAGUACUACCGAUUCGGAGUCAUGAAGCGGUAUUGUUCUUUGACAGUUGAGGAAGGGAAGGCCAUGUUUGUCAUCUUGCCGAUGGCAGGCCUCCAGGUGGAUGCUUGGGGAUAUAUGGUCAAGUGAAUAAGGGCAUACGGUGGAUGCCUUGGCAGAGACAGGCGAUGAAGGACGUGGAUACCUGCGAAAAGCCUCGGGGAGCUGGUAAGCAAG
rnacentral:misc_RNA from 1 species